rnacentral:rRNA from 1 species
CCUAACACAUGCAAGUCGUGCGCGAAAGGGGCUUCGGCCCUGAGUAGAGCGGCAAACGGGUGAGUAACGCGUGGGUGACCUACCCUCGAGUGGGGGAUAACAGUCCGAAAGGAUUGCUAAUACCGCAUGACAUCCUGUCCUUGGACGGAUGGAGAUCAAAGCCGGGGAUCGCAAGACCUGGCGCUUGAGGAGGGGCCCGCGUUCGAUUAGCUAGUUGGUGAGGUAACGGCUCACCAAGGCGACGAUCGAUAGCCGGCCUGAGAGGGCGGACGGCCACACUGGGACUGAGACACGGCCCAGACUCCUACGGGAGGCAGCAGUGGGGAAUUGUUCGCAAUGGGCGCAAGCCUGACGACGCAACGCCGCGUGGAGGAUGAAGAUCUUCGGGUCGUAAACUCCUGUCGACCGGGACGAAAUUCAUCGGAGCGAAUAUCUCCGGUGAUUGACGGUACCGGUGGAGGAAGCCCCGGCUAACUCCGUGCCAGCAGCCGCGGUAAUACGGGGGGGGCAAGCGUUGUUCGGAAUUACUGGGCGUAAAGGGCUCGUAGGCGGCCGUUUUAGUCCGACGUGAAAUCCCACGGCUCAACCGUGGAACUGCGUCGGAUACUGAAUGGCUUGAAUCCAAGAGAGGGAUGCGGAAUUCCAGGUGUAGCGGUGAAAUGCGUAGAUAUCUGGAGGAACACCGGUGGCGAAGGCGGCAUCCUGGAUUGGCAUUGACGCUGAGGAGCGAAAGCCAGGGGAGCAAACGGGAUUAGAUACCCCGGUAGUCCUGGCCCUAAACGAUGAAUGCUUGGUGUGGUGGGUAUCGAUCCCCGCCGUGCCGAAGCUAACGCAUUAAAGCAUUCCGCCUG